rnacentral:rRNA from 1 species
AUUGAACGCUGGCGGCAUGCCUAACACAUGCAAGUCGAACGGGGGCAGCAAUGCCCUAGUGGCGGACGGGUGAGGAAUACGUAGGAACCGGCCCACGAGUGGGGGACAACCUGGGGAAACCCAGGCUAAUACCGCAUACGCUCGCGAGAGGAAAGCGGGGGGACCUUCGGGCCUCGCGCUGGUGGACGGGCCUACGUCCGAUUAGCUAGUUGGUGGGGUAAAAGCCUACUAAGGCGACGAUCGGUAGCUGGUCUGAGAGGAUGAUCAGCCACACUGGGACUGAGACACGGCCCAGACUCCUACGGGAGGCAGCAGUGGGGAAUAUUGGACAAUGGGCACAAGCCUGAUCCAGCAAUGCCGCGUGGGUGAAGAAGGCCUGCGGGUUGUAAAGCCCUUUAAGCGGGGAGGAAAGCCGGGAUGUGAAUAGCACCUCGGGGUGACGUUACCCGCAGAAUAAGCACCGGCUAACUACGUGCCAGCAGCCGCGGUAAU